CCGUAGCUCAGCCGGCAGAGCGUUAGGCUGUUAACCUAAAGGUCCCUGGUUCGAUCCCAGG
rnacentral:tRNA from 1 species